rnacentral:lncRNA from 1 species
ACUUCCUCAUUUAAGUUUUUUUUGGAAUAUCAACUGCUCUUCUGAAAGGUCAACAUGGGCCCAGAUCCCUGCUGUUCAUGGUGGGGCAUCACAUUUCCUCAUUUGCUCUCUUGCAGAAGCUUUUAGUCCCAUGGGAAACAGAGACCCAACAAAAAUCUGUAUCUAGUUUAGCUGUAGCUCAGUUUCUGGGAGCAGUGGGGCAAUGCUUUAUUUGUUCCUGCUCCUCUGUUAUCCUACUUUGUACAGGUUUUGGGUAUGGAGAAUAAAUGCAUGCGGAAGUGAUGAUAUGGUAUACAUGCUCAGCCUCAUUUGGAUAUUUUUACCCAUGACUGACAUAGCCAAGGAAACAUAAAAAUAAACACAAUAAACAAAUGAAUAAUGGGAAAAUAAUUAAGAUCUUACAGAAUAUUAUAUGGAGCUCAACAAUACAAGCUAAGAAACAAACAGGAUAACAACAGUUGAGGGUUAAGACAGAUUUACAUAUCCACAUACGUCAGCAAGUCUUUGCUAUUAUACUAGAGUGUUCUGCAUGUGUAGCUGACAGAACUAAAUUAAGAGUUAGUGAGACAUCUAUGAGGAUUAGAAUAAAUGGAAACAGGAGUAUAACUACGCAGCCCAAAUACAAAACAUGAGAUGAAAAUUAUUCGGAAGAA